rnacentral:lncRNA from 1 species
GAACUGGGCUCUCUCUCUCUCUCUCUUUCUCUCUCUGGUUGCAUUUCACCAGCUAAGGAGUUGCAUUGGCUUCUGCUCUCCUGUCUUGCUCACCUACAUUGUGAGGCAGAUGAGAGUGGAGGCUGUAAAUCACCCUCUAUGCAAUGGCUUAUCAUAAAGGAUAUGGAGCAAAAUUAGAGGAGGCACGAGAAGGAAAGCUGGUGAUGAACAAGGAAAGUGCCUGGUUGAAGCUAGCUUGCAAUCCCAAAGUCAGAAGGUUGCCUGGGAAGCCAGGAAACAAAGCCAAAUCAAGGCAAAGCAGACACAUGGAGAUUUUGAGACUGAGAAGAGGGAAACUGAGGACAUUCAUGUGAGAUGGGGUUCAAGUUUCCCUUAGAAGGAGAAGUUAUCUUCAGAAGGUCAGGUUGGUGAGGUGGGAGUUCAAAAACAACAAAGUAUGUAGCUACCAUUGAGAGGAAGACCAUGGAAAAUGGACAAAUCAGGAUGAAAGGCUUUCUGAACAAGAAUAAGU